rnacentral:rRNA from 1 species
UGCCAGACUCCUACGGGAGGCAGCAGUGGGGGAUAUUGCACAAUGGGGGAAACCCUGAUGCAGCGACGCCGCGUGGGUGAAGAAGCGCCUCGGCGCGUAAAGCCCUGUCAGCAGGGAAGAAAAUGACGGUACCUGAAGAAGAAGCCCCGGCUAACUACGUGCCAGCAGCCGCGGUAAUACGUAGGGGGCGAGCGUUAUCCGGAUUCACUGGGUGUAAAGGGAGCGUAGACGGCCAUGCAAGCCAGGGGUGAAAGCCCGGGGCCCAACCCCGGGACUGCCCUUGGAACUGCAUGGCUGGAGUGCGGGAGGGGCAGGCGGAAUUCCUGGUGUAGCGGUGAAAUGCGUAGAUAUCACGAAGAACUCCGAUUGCGAAGGCAGCUCACUGGACUGCAACUGACACUGAGGCUCGAAAGUGUGGGUAUCAAACAGGAUUAGAUACCCCCGUA